UGGUCUGACAGCACUGGAGCAGUUCCUGUCUGCUGCUAAGGUUUCACUACAUAUGCCAGACAAAGAAGUUGUGGAGCUUUCUGUCUGUCUGGUGUGGCAGCCAAGAUUGAAUGGGAGAAAUACAGGA
rnacentral:snoRNA from 1 species